rnacentral:misc_RNA from 1 species
GAUGAAGAACGUAGCGAAAUGCGAUAAGUAAUGUGAAUUGCAGAAUUCAGUGAAUCAUCGAAUCUUUGAACGCACAUUGCGCCCGCCAGUAUUCUGGCGGGCAUGCCUGUUCGAGCGUCAUUUCAACCAUCAAGCCCCAGGCUUGUGUUGGGGACCUGCGGCUGCCGCAGGCCCUGAAAACCAGUGGCGGGCUCGCUAGUCACACCGAGCGUAGUAGCAUACACAUCGCUCAGGGCGUGCUGCGGGUUCCGGCCGUUAAACCCCUUUUUUACCCAAGGUUGACCUCGGAUCAGGUAGGAAGACCCGCUGAACUUAAGCAUAUCAAAAGCGGAGGA